UGUACCAAACGUAACAUGGUUGUCAUAUUUUAUUCGAAUGGAUGGAAAAACAGCGGUCCAAUCCAGCUAUAGAUAUGUACAUAUGAAUAUACAUACAUACAUAUGUAUAUUAUAGAAAAAAAUUACACUAAGUUGAGAAUUAAAAUAUUAGACCAACAUAACAAAACAGCGUACCAAACCGAACUAAAUUUUUAUUAUUGAAAAAAUUUUUCCUAUAGUUUUUUAAAUGAUGGUUUUUGUGUUAGCAAAGUAGUAAAAAAUAGUAAGCAGAAAAUAAUAAUAGUAAGAAAAAAAUAAAAUGAAAAAGAAAUAUACAAAAUGAGUGAAGUAAAAAAAAAGCGAAUAAGAAAACAAAAAAAUUAUACAGAAAUCAAAGAUUUAAGUGAUUUAUCAGAUUUUAACAAUUUCACAGCGCUAUAAUGGAACUCGAACUAACAAAAAUGGAACUAUCAUAAAAUAACUAUCAUAAGCUGACUCUAGUUGGACAUUUUUUUAAAUUGAUUAGAAUUUUUUCUGUAGGAUUUUAUAAAAAUUUCAAUCGGUAACAAAUAAUAAAAUAUCACUUAAUUUGUUUGUGAAUG